AGAAAAUGCUCUCAGGGAAAGAACGUUUAUUACAACUUGUAUGCAGCUGUAUGGAGAUUUAUCAAACUUUCUGUCACUAGAAAUCCGCGGAUAAGGAAACCUGCCUUAAUGUUAUAAUCACGACAGCCAGGCACAUUUACUAUUCUGUAGUUAGUAGAUAUCUGAAGUUAUUUUGCAAUUAAGAAAUCGGAGAUAUCUAUUACUAGGAAGAUUUCCAAGAAAAUAUUAUAUAUUGAGGAUUUAUAUCUAUAAGAAAUCUUAUUAUCUUGGAAAAUUAUAGAUAUCUGUUACCGCAACAAAUGAUAAAAGAACUUAAAAUUCUACUACUUAAAAGUCAAGUGAAGGGCUUCUUUUUUCCGGCUAAGAUAAACGUUUUAAAAGAAGAAAACUUUUGCAACCACAAAAAUAUCGAACCCACAUCACUAUACCAACACGACCCCAAUAAAAUCGGCCACGGUGAUCCUCCGGGUACCAUCACGAUCUCCAUGGUUGUUGGCCGAAAUUAGUGGUUUCACGAGCAGCAUCUCGUCUGAAAUCCCUGUUUGCAACUUUGGUUACUCAAAACUCAAAGAGAGAAAGAGAACUCGACGUGGUUAUCCAAUGACGUCAUAAGAUAAUUCAACGUUGCAUCACGGCUGCAUGUCUGCGUUUUAAUUCAAAAGAUCAUGUUCUUUUGCCUGGAUGGGAACAAAACAAGUGGCAUUUAUAUUUAUUCAAAAGGAAAAAAUUUUAUAUUUUACUUCGAUUUAAUUAUAAAUGGUAGAUGAAUGUUAUAUAUGCUAUUAUUAGCUUAUAUAAGUCACUUUCAGUAACAUAAUUAAUAUU
rnacentral:misc_RNA from 1 species